rnacentral:lncRNA from 1 species
CAUAGUACUAAACAAAAGAAACAUUGAAGCGGACACAAACAGCAAAAUGAUUGGAAAUAUGGAAUCCAUCGAGUAACACUUUCAAGGUUCCUCUCAAAAUUCUUCCUUGCUGUCAGACUAAUCGAUGGAUUGCAAUUUUUCUGUGAGACCUUAAGUUUGCACCUCAUCAUCCUUAUCUAGCCAACGCUGAAAUCAACGGCCAAGUCUUUCACAUUAUAAGAAAACGACAGGCUCCUAUAGCUUUGAUUUCCAGCAAAUAAGAAGGCA